rnacentral:rRNA from 1 species
GAUGAACGCUGGCGGCGUGCCUAAUACAUGCAAGUCGAGCGAACAGACGAGGAGCUUGCUCCUUUGACGUUAGCGGCGGACGGGUGAGUAACACGUAGGUAACCUACCUAUAAGACUGGGGUAACUUCGGGAAACCGGAGCUAAUACCGGAUAAUAUUUCGAACCGCAUGGUUCGAUAGUGAAAGAUGGCUUUGCUAUCACUUAUAGAUGGACCUGCGCCGUAUUAGCUAGUUGGUAAGGUAACGGCUUACCAAGGCAACGAUACGUAGCCGACCUGAGAGGGUGAUCGGCCACACUGGAACUGAGACACGGUCCAGACUCCUACGGGAGGCAGCAGUAGGGAAUCUUCCGCAAUGGGCGAAAGCCUGACGGAGCAACGCCGCGUGAGUGAUGAAGGUCUUCGGAUCGUAAAACUCUGUUAUUAGGGAAGAACAAACGUGUAAGUAACUGUGCACGUCUUGACGGUACCUAAUCAGAAAGCUACGGCUAACUACGUG